ACCGAUGUUCUCAAGUAAAUCAAUGGUUAGGGACACAUAUAUAAAAAGUCAUAAGAAUGGAAUCAAAUUUAUAUUUAAAAAAUAUGUUUUUGUUGUACCAGUAAACAUAUUUGCAAGAAAUCUUGACCUUUCCAAGUCAAAACAGAUGGAAACACGACCGUUUGAAAUAAAAAUAUGUUGCUUAGAAAAAAAAAUAAUUAGAAAUUGCCCAAAAGUGACGAGGGAGGGGUUGGUAAACUAAUAUUUUUUUAUGGGGCCUUAUAACUCUUCUUUAUUUAUCUACUUAUUUUUACACACAGCACCGAAGAGUAUUUGGGACUCGCAACAGCCACGCCGCCGUAGUGUCUAAGAUGGAUUUUAUUGAGCGUCCACGGUAGGAGGAGGACCCUUAGUUAAGCAAACACGACAACUGAGGAAGAACAUUUGGAACAGAGUUAAUCCACGUAGUGUCUAACAUGGACGAAGAUGAGCAUUGAUAUGCGAGGCUACACUCGGCUAUACACAUGGUCAGCUAUGGUCUAUAUGGCCGCUGUUACAUUAACACCUACGUGAUCAUCGAAUUUUUUCAUCAUCAAGUCGAAUUUGUUUUUCACUCAUUCCAACCACAAAAUGGUUAAUCUGUUUUAGCGUUAAUCAUAUAUAACAAUUAUUAUACUUGGCCGGGUAUAUAACAUAAGGGUAAUAUGUAGGCCUAUAUCAGUAUUUUUACUCCUUAUUUUCUUACAAUUUAAUGUCGAUAUGGUGUAGACGAAAAAUAAAUAAAGCAUCAUAUCAGGCCUAACACUCAUCGAAAAGAGGAUGCUGUAAGCACCUAUGAAUCAUACUAGACCUGCAAAUCAUAAGACGGCUAUUGGAUAAUAAUAUUUAUCUACAUAACAUAGACAAAAUGAUGUAUAUAUAAAUAUGUUUUAUAUUCAAUAUAUGAUUUAUCGAAUACCAAUAACCAAAUAAUAACCCAUUGGGUUUCUAACAAAAAUAAGGCACACAUGAGGUUUGGAAGCCAUUUUAUUGAACGAUAAUUUCUCGAACGUUGUGAUAGGUUGGAAGUAUAUCACGUGAUCCCUGUGUAAAUAUAAUACGUGACUGUGAUUGGUCACUAUGUACUUACGAUCCUAUAGCGUAGUAGCGUGUUGUUUUAUUAAUUUAUGUAAUAUGUAACAACACUUUAGAUAAAGUUUACUAGGCCUACAUGUGUUUCUUGCCCAAUAGGGAUUUGAUAUUGUUCCUUGGUAACGAUACGAUUUAAACUAUGAAAGUUGUUGCCCCACUUUUAUGAGAUGUCGAAUUUGAGCAGUUUGGUCAUCAACGAUCAGAUCACAUCAAAUGAAGGCCUAUCACAACUGUUGCAAUUAAGUAGCAAAUGUUAGUGUGUUUGGAAAUGAAAAUUAAUGGACGAGGUAUAAAUAAAUUGAAUUAUAAAUUGAA